UAAUAUAAUCGAAUCAAAUCAUUUCUUAUGUUAUAUGACCCGAUAAUUUUUUUUAUUGCUUCACUGUGUUUUCGACGAUAGUUUGUGUAUACCAACACCUCGCACAAGAAUCACCUUUUUGUCCAUAUUAAAUCCAUCAACAGAGAACCAUGGUCAGAGCAAUGAGGAGAGUGAGCAGUUCACAGGUUCAGAGGGUCACUGUUGGUACAAGAUACACCCAGCAAAGAACUACAACACAGACGAUAAGACGCAGAACAACAAGACCCCGUGGUGGAAAUAAUUUGAGGAAUACAAUAGCAAUUACUUUUGGUUUGACAAGGAGUACUCGCAGGAGAUAUCUCUUAUAAGUGCAACUUGGUUGCAUAGACAGCUAAUCCGAUGAAUGCCGGUGAGAAGAAUGUAUGACCGGACAAUCUUUAGCUUUUUUGGAAACCGUGUAAUUCAUAUAAUGAUGUACUGAUUUUAUAAUUUUUAAUAAAAUUAGAUGAAUACAUA